rnacentral:rRNA from 1 species
UACGGGGGGGGCAAGCGUUGUUCGGAAUUACUGGGCGUAAAGGGCUUGUAGGUGGCCAACUAAGUCAGACGUGAAAUCCCUCGGCUUAACCGGGGAACUGCGUCUGAUACUGGAUGGCUUGAGUGUGGGAGAGGGAUGCGGAAUUCCAGGUGUAGCGGUGAAAUGCGUAGAUAUCUGGAGGAACACCGGUGGCGAAGGCGGCAUCCUGGACCAUCACUGACACUGAAAAGCGAAAGCCAGGGGAGCAAACGGG